rfam:Echinostoma caproni strain Egypt genome assembly, scaffold: ECPE_scaffold0011717
GGCCUCGUAUCUCAGCUGGUAGAGCAUGGGCGUACAAACCGUAGGCGGCAUCCAUGCGUGGGUUUGAAUCCCACCGAGGCUA